CGCAAGUGAUGUUUUUCUCACAAUGGCCUUCUGAGCCUUGUGGUUGUGAUGACACUGCCUAAUGGCGACAACACUGAAGCAGUCCCCAACAUGCCUCAAA
ensembl:snoRNA